rnacentral:rRNA from 1 species
GUAGGUGGCAAGCGUUGUCCGGGAAUUAUUGGGGCGUAAAGCGCGCGCAGGCGGUUCUUUAAGUCUGAUGUGAAAGCCCACGGGCUCAACCGUGGAGGGUCAUUGGAAACUGGUGAACUUGAGUACAGAAGAGGAAAGCGGAAUUCCACGUGUAGCGGUGAAAUGCGUAGAGAUGUGGAGGAACACCAGUGGCGAAGGCGGCUUUCUGGUCUGUAACUGACGCUGAGGCGCGAAAGCGUGGGGAGCAAACAGGAUUAGAUACCCUGGUAGUCCACGCCGUAAACGAUGAGUGCUAAUGUUAGGGGGUUUCCGCCCCUUAGUGCUGCAGCUAACGCAUUAAGCACUCCGCCUGGGGAGUACGGCCGCAAAGGCUG